rnacentral:rRNA from 1 species
UGGGGAAUUUUGGACAAUGGGCGAAAGCCUGAUCCAGCAAUGCCGCGUGUGUGAAGAAGGCCUUCGGGUUGUAAAGCACUUUUGUCCGGAAAGAAAUCCUUGGCUCUAAUACAGUCGGGGGAUGACGGUACCGGAAGAAUAAGCACCGGCUAACUACGUGCCAGCAGCCGCGGUAAUACGUAGGGUGCAAGCGUUAAUCGGAAUUACUGGGCGUAAAGCGUGCGCAGGCGGUUUGCUAAGACCGAUGUGAAAUCCCCGGGCUCAACCUGGGAACUGCAUUGGUGACUGGCAGGCUAGAGUAUGGCAGAGGGGGGUAGAAUUCCACGUGUAGCAGUGAAAUGCGUAGAGAUGUGGAGGAAUACCGAUGGCGAAGGCAGCCCCCUGGGCCAAUACUGACGCUCAUGCACGAAAGCGUGGGGGAGCAAACAGGAUUAGAUACCCUGGUAGUCCACGCCCUAAAACGAUGUCAACUAGUUGUUGGGGAUUCAUUUCCUUAGUAACGUAGCUAACGCGUGAAGUUGACCGCCUGGGGAGUACGGUCGCAAGAUUAAAAC